GGGGGGAAUAUUGGUUAAUCUGCGAAAGCGGGAACCAGCAACGCCGCGUGCACGAUGAAGGCCUUCGGGUUGUAAAGUGCUUUUUGAGAGGAUGAGGAAGGACAGUACUCUUAGAAUAAGCUUCGGCUAACUACGUGCCAGCAGCCGCGGUAAAAACGUAGGAAGCGAGCGUUAUCCGGAUUUACUGGGCGUAAAGCGUGUGUAGGCGGUUUGAUAAGUUGGAUGUGAAAGCUCCUGGCUUAACUGGGAGAGGUCGUUCAAAACUAUCAGACUUGAGAGUGGUAGAGGGAGGUGGAAGUUCCGGGUGUAGUGGUGAAAUGAGUAGAUAUCCGGAGGAACACCAGUGGCGAAAGCGGCCUCCUGGCCCAUUUCUGACGCUCAGACACGAAAGCUAAAGGUA
rnacentral:rRNA from 1 species